GUGUAGCCGAAGUCCGUAUGGGUCUUCGUCUUUGUAUCUUCUAACAAGGAUACAAUACUUAGGCUUUUAAGAUCUGGUUGCGA
rfam:Arabidopsis thaliana chromosome 5, complete sequence.